GUUGUUCGGAGUUACUGGGCGUAAAGAGUGCGUAGGUUGUGCCCUCAGUCUGUUGUGAAAUCUCCCGGCUUAACUGGGAGGGUGCGGUGGAAACUGGGGUGCUUGAGUGUGGGAGAGGUAAGCGGAAUUCCUGGUGUAGCGAUGAAAUGCGUAGAUAUCAGGAGGAACACCGGUGGUGUAGACGGCUUACUGGACCACGACUGACACUGAGGCACGAAAGCGUGGGUAGCAAACAGG
rnacentral:rRNA from 1 species